CUACGUGCCAGCAGCCGCGGUAAUACGUAGGGUGCGAGCGUUAAUCGGAAUUACUGGGCGUAAAGCGAGCGCAGACGGUUACUUAAGCAGGAUGUGAAAUCCCCGGGCUCAACCUGGGAACUGCGUUCUGAACUGGGUGACUAGAGUGUGUCAGAGGGAGGUAGAAUUCCACGUGUAGCAGUGAAAUGCGUAGAGAUGUGGAGGAAUACCGAUGGCGAAGGCAGCCCCUUGGGAAUGUACUGACGCUCAUGUGCGAAAGCGUGGGGAGCAAACAGGAUUAGAUACCCUGGUAGUCCACGCUGUAAACGCUGUCGAUUUGGGGAUUGAGCUUUAAGCUUGGUGCCCGUAGCUAACGUGAUAAAUCGACCGCCUGGGGAGUACGGCCGCAAGGUUAAAACUCAAAUGAAUUGACGGGGGCCCGCACAAGCGGUGGAGCAUGUGGUUUAAUUCGAUGCAACGCGAAGAACCUUACCUACUCUUGACAUCCAGA
rnacentral:rRNA from 1 species